rnacentral:rRNA from 1 species
AUUGAACGCUGGCGGCAGGCCUAACACAUGCAAGUCGAACGAGUGGCGGACGGGUGAGUAAUGUCUGGGAAACUGCCCGAUGGAGGGGGAUAACUACUGGAAACGGUAGCUAAUACCGCAUACCAUCGGAUGUGCCCAGAUGGGAUUAGCUAGUAGGGGGGGUAACGGCUCACCUUGGCGACGAGCCCUAGCUGGUCUGAGAGGAUGACCGGACACACUGGAACUGAUGCACGGUCCAGACUCCUACGGGAGGGAGCAGUGGGGAAUAUUGGACAAUGGGCGCAAGCCGAGUGCAGCCAUGCCGCGUGUAUGAAGAAGGCCUUCGGGUUGUAAAGUACUUUCAGCGGGGAUGCGUUACUCGCAGAAGAAGCACCGGCUAACUCCGUGCCAGCAGCCGCGGUAAUAC